rnacentral:lncRNA from 1 species
GAGAAACUCAAGCUUCCGAAGGAAACCAGCGGCUUCACCGGCGGUCUUAAUCGGUGUAACCAUUCGGCUGGAAAAAAAGAGUAGACAACCUGAGAAUAGGUUUUUAGCAAGGCCUGAACUUCGACAAUGGCGAUAGCGGGGACGGAGAACUGCUACCAACGGCAACGGCGUAAGUGAAAAAAAAAGCCAAGAAGAAAAUCCAGUGGUGUGUUGGCUUGGGGUACCAUCGACGCAACAAAAAAGAGGGGUAGGAGAGUUUCUAAUAUUUGUUUGGAUGCUUAUUUUAUGCUAAGGGAUACGGAUAUCUAACGAACCUUUGUUAAUUAUGAUGGUUCGAUUGAGAACUAUAUGGGACAGAGGAGAUGAUGUUAAUCCGAACAUUACAGCGAUUAAUGCAGCCUAUUAUUGUACAAAUUUUCAGGCCUUUGAUUUGGCAACUUGUGAAAGAUGAACUUUAGCCGCAAUCUUCGCAGCCGACUUAGCUUUUACAGCUGGCUUCGCACCUUCACAAUUGGCUUUCACGGCUUGUUUCACUUUCGCAAAUGGUUUGGCUUUAGCAUUGGCACGUUUAAUUCAGAUGUCGGGACUUAAUUGCCAUCAUAAGGUGUGUCUGAAUCAGAAGUCGUGUCUGAAAAAUGAUUAGAACAGUUUGCAUAGUCAACCUUAUUUUCAGGUAAAGCAACUGUGUCUAUACAAGGUUAGGGUUUAUCCAAAUGAGCUUCUUUUACAAUUAAUCAAUUUGAUUUGUGGUGUUU